AGGAAAAGAAACUAACAAGGAUUCCCCUAGUAACGGCGAGUGAAGCGGGAAGAGCUCAAAUUUGUAAUCUGGCACUUUCAGUGUCCGAGUUGUAAUCUCGAGAAGUAUUUUCCGCGCCGGACCGCAUACAAGUCUGUUGGAAUACAGCGUCAUAGUGGUGAGAACCCCGUAACUGAUGCGGAUGCCCGGUGCUUUGUGAUAUACUUUCGAAGAGUCGAGUUGUUUGGGAAUGCAGCUCAAAUUGGGUGGUAAAUUCCAUCUAAAGCUAAAUAUUGGAGCAAGACCGAUAGCGAACAAGUACCGUGAGGGAAAGAUGAAAAGCACUUUGGAAAGAGAGUUAACAGUACGUGAAAUUGUUGGAAGGGAAACGCUUGAAGUCAGACUUGCUAUUCGGAGUUCAGCCGCAAGGUGUAUUCUUCGAUUCGCAGGCCAGCAUCAGUUUUCGGGGGUGGAAAAUCGCGGUUUGAAGGUAGCAACUUCGGUUGUGUUAUAGCUUUCCGCUGGAUUCAUCCUUGGGGACUGAGGAACGCAGUACGCUUUUUGCAAGGCUCUCGAGCUUUUCGUACUUAGGAUGCUGGUGGAAUGGCUUUAAACGACCCGUCUU
rnacentral:rRNA from 1 species